rnacentral:rRNA from 1 species
UGGGGAAUAUUGGACAAUGGGCGCAAGCCUGCUCCAGCCAUGCCGCGUGAGUGAUGAAGGCCCUAGGGUUGUAAAGCUCUUUCACCGGUGAAGAUAAUGACGGUAACCGGAGAAGAAGCCCCGGCUAACUUCGUGCCAGCAGCCGCGGUAAUACGAAGGGGGCUAGCGUUGUUCGGAUUUACUGGGCGUAAAGCGCACGUAGGCGGACUUUUAAGUCAGGGGUGAAAUCCCGGGGCUCAACCCCGGAACUGCCUUUGAUACUGGAAGUCUUGAGUAUGGUAGAGGUGAGUGGAAUUCCGAGUGUAGAGGUGAAAUUCGUAGAUAUUCGGAGGAACACCAGUGGCGAAGGCGACUCACUAGACCAUUACUGACGCUGAGAUGCGAAAGCGUGGGGAGCAAACAGG